rnacentral:rRNA from 1 species
UACGGGGGGAGCAAGCGUUGUUCGGAUUUACUGGGCGUAAAGGGCGCGUAGGCGGCCACCGCAAGUCGAUUGUGAAAUCUCCGGGCUUAACCCGGAAAGGUCAACCGAUACUGCGGGGCUAGAGUGCAGAAGGGGGCAACUGGAAUUCUCGGUGUAGCGGUGAAAAUGCGUAGAUAUCGAGAGGAACACCUGCGGCGAAGGCGGGUUGCUGGGCUGACACUGACGCUGAAGUGCGAGAGCUAGGGGAGCGAACGGG